UACGUAGGGUGCAAGCGUUAAUCGGAAUUACUGGGCGUAAAGCGUGCGCAGGCGGUUAUGCAAGUCAGAUGUGAAAUCCCCGGGCUCAACCUGGGAACUGCAUUUGUGACUGCAUGGCUAGAGUACGGUAGAGGGGGAUGGAAUUCCGCGUGUAGCAGUGAAAUGCGUAGAUAUGCGGAGGAACACCGAUGGCGAAGGCAAUCCCCUGGACCUGUACUGACGCUCAUGCACGAGAGCGUGGGGAGCGAACAGG
rnacentral:rRNA from 1 species